GUGUCAGCCGCCGCGGUAAAACGUAGGAGGCGAGCGUUAUCCGGAUUUACUGGGUGUAAAGCGCGUGCAGGCGGUUUGGUAAGUUGGGUGUGAAAGCUCCUGGCUCAACUGGGAGAGGUCGCUCAAGACUGCCAGACUUGAGAGUGGUAGGGGAAGGUGGAAUUCCGGGUGUAGUGGUGAAAUGCGUAGAUAUCCGGAGGAACACCAGUGGCGAAGGCGGCCUUCUGGGCCACAUCUGACGCUCAGACGCGAAAGCUAGGGUAGCAAACGGGAUUAGAAACCCUGGUAGUCC
rnacentral:rRNA from 1 species